GGUAAAUGGCCUCGCUUUCUUUGAUAUCGGUAAAUAUCAAAUUUGUUUUGAAGCCGCCAUCGAUAAAUGGCCCCGCUUUCCUUGAUUCAUCACCUGCAGAGUGCAAAUUCUCCGGUUCUUUUGGUAUUCAAUCCCUAUUUACCUUGAAAGUCUGAUAGCUGCUGCUUUCAUCCGUCCAGGUUCACAGUCGAUUGAAUAGGGGCAACUGUAGCACCUCAAAUUUCC
rnacentral:lncRNA from 1 species